CUCAUCAAUCUUAUCCCAACAAAGUCCCACUCAUAAUCCACACACGUUUCUCUUAUGCACUUGAUUUCCUCUUCUCUCACAACACUCCCCAACGGUCACACGAAAGACCUACUCACUCUCACCUCUCUCAACCUCACUAUACAAUACUCUCUCCCUCUCCUUCAACCGAAGACAACACUUCCCUCAACAUCUCAGCCGCAUCCACCAAAAACCCAACCUCUUCAUCAUCUCCCUCUUCCCACCAUCGUUGUCGGUGACCACCAUCCACGCACCCUCCACCGUGCACCCAACCUCCACCAUAUUUAUCACGACAUCCCUUUCACCUUCACGUUGCGCUCACCACACCGGCGAAUCCUUUCCAACACACUUUCGUCAUCUCCUUCACACCAACGCCGUCACCAUCCAAAACCAUCUUCAUACCAAAUCUGCCUCCAUUUUACUUCCCAAAACCACCGCGCCUCGCGCCGUCGGCGAGCAAACUCAUUCAGCCUCGACAACAACAACUCUACCGUGAAACACAUCUACGAAGAAGAAUAACAAAACUAUCUUCUCACUGUUUCUGAUCAACCUUCACCCCCUUCCUCACCGGAUCGAUGCUCACCUGUUACCAUAACAAUUAUUAGUUAUUAGUGCAGGAGCAUUGAGGCUUCUUAUGCCAAAAUUAAUUAAGCUUGCUAUUGUUGCAUAGCGUAUAUAAUUUGUUGUUGGCCGUUUUCCGACAUCGCACCGUAUCUACGGUAGAAGAGAGUUGAUGUUUUGUCUAUAACGUGAAAGUUGCGACAAAUGCUUGUUGCAUAGAAUGGAAGUAUUGAUAUGAGUUUCUUUAUUUUAUUUUUAUGCUACUGUUUACUCAAAAUGGUUGUUGUGUGUUAUGUCGUCAAAACCGAAAAGAGAGGAUUAGAAUUUCUUUUGGGAGUUGUUUUGAAGCUUAGAGAGAAAGAGACAUGGUUGUCUAUGCUAGUAGUAUUUUGUUGUUAUCCAUUGCCACAUGUCCCGUCACCAUUCAUUGAUGUUUAGUGUUGUAAGGUCAAAACUAUUUUUCUUAACAUUAUUUCUCACAUUUUACUA